UUACUUCUUAAUUAUGCGGAGAAGCUUUCAGAUUCUUCUUUGGGAAUAAUAGAGAUGAAGCGAGAGAGAACUGAUGUAGAUUCCAUCAGUGAUCUUGACAUCAGAUGGAGACUGAUCAGCGGAAGAGUUACUUCUCCUGAAAGCCGCAUGUUACUGUCUCAGGCACUAGCCAUUUUUCCAUGAAGACUAUGCAAGGACAAGGCUACGGGGGCAUUGAUUUGGCUGUUUCUGUUGCUAAUUUAUACAGUGCGACAACCCAGUGAGUUGUAUGUUCAUCCUUUGUGCUGAGGUAAAGCAAGUCAUGUAUGUAUUUUGGUUAAAGAGUGAAGGGCUUAGGAUUUAAAGGAGGUCUUACAAUAGACUUGUGUAAAUAUUUUUUUUUUUUUGACAAUCGACUUGUGUAAAUAUUUUUAUAUAUAAAAUACAUCUCAUUAGGCA